rnacentral:rRNA from 1 species
UUUUCGGAGAGUUUGAUCCUGGCUCAGGACAAACGCUGGCGGCGUGUAUUAGGCAUGCAAGUCGCACGGACCUUCGGGUCAGUGGCGGACGGGUGAGUAACACGUGGGUAACCUGCCCUGCAGUGGGGAAUAACCCGUCGAAAGACGGGCUAAUACCGCAUAUUACUCUCGGUGAGAAUCCGGGAAGUAAAAGCAGCAAUGCGCUGUAGGAGGGGCCCGCGGCCGAUUAGCUAGUUGGUGAGGUAACGGCCCACCAAGGCGACGAUCGGUAGCUGGUCUGAGAGGAUGGUCAGCCACACGGGGACUGAGAUACGGCCCCGACUCCUACGGGAGGCAGCAGCUAAGAAUCUUGCGCAAUGGGCGAAAGCCUGACGCAG